CCUCUGCACAUGGUCAGGAACGCUCGUACUGUUGCUUUUGUAAUUAUUCCUAACCCAACCCCCCGCCUUUUUCCCGAGGCUCCCGGCUCAGUAAUAUAAACCUCAAACCCUUUUUAAUGUCCAGUUUGUCAACCUCAAAAAGCCACACAAUUUAGCAACACACACACUAUAGAAACGUUUGAAAACGAAUGAACAUUAAAUUAAAUAAAACUACACAAGGGGAUCUCUGCAUUUUUCAAGGCCGGUGGUCCCAAACACAGGACGUGUAAGGGAUAUAUGUAAUUCUGCAAAAAAGAGAGCUGCAUAUUCUCUGAUAAAAAUACAGUAAUAUAUUAAAGUCUGAUUUCCUCCCCACUAGGGGGAGUAUUGUACUGCUGACACAACUACACAAUUUUGCACCCUCCCAGUGCUUUGCACCAACCUCAGGAUUGCUUUAUCUCUAGCAUCUUAAUAAGUAGAUAACCUGAUUUAUUACUGUAGAAAGGUCUUGCUGCUGGCAUGUUUUCAGUUUCUGAAAGAGAGAACAUUGCUUCUUUAAUUUCAAGGUUUUUUGGUUUGUUUGUUUUUAACGCAUUAGGAAAAAAGGGCCAAUUUAAAGGUGUGGAUUCACUGAAGUAUGUUUUACACCAUCUCCAAGCACCAUUCUAGCAUUUCAGUCUCUUCUGAUUCAGAUGAAACAGAACUGGGUGUCCUCCAUAUUGGUGACACCUCACUACGAAACACUGAGCAGUUUCGCAUAGCUGUUUAAUAAUAUGUCAGCUUGCAUGGAGCAUUAUUAUUUAUACUCCACCCCACUCUGGGUGGCUCCCAGCAGAUUAAAAACAGAAGAAAACAUCAAACAUAAAAAACUUUCCUAAGCAGGGCUGCCUUCAGAUAACUUGCAUGGCACCAAACAAUGAUGCCCUCAUAACUACUUUUUGAAAACCACCCUGCAGGUAACGGUGAAACUACUGAAGUACAGUGUCCCCAACCCUGAUCUCCCUGGGCUGUUCCAGAAGAAUACUAUUGGCAGUUGCAGAGGUGGCACCAAAGGCACUCAGUAGCAAUUGUUUCAAUGGCUUUAUGCAGCCCACCAUUUCAGUGUGACGAGUGCCAACCAAUGCUGCAACUGCUUAGCAUCUUCAGUCUUUCAUAAUAAUGUACGAGGGUUCAAACUAUGCAGGGGUGCAGGGAUGUGUAUUCUAGCCCCACCCCAACAUUCCCAACUCCUCCUCCUGCCAUUUUUCAUUCAGCAUAAAGGUAUGCAAGAAGAUUUGAACUGGAACCCAGAUUGUGCAGGGUUCCCAGUUGCAGAGAGUAUUAGGAUCACAUUCAACACUGUUAUAAUUCCCCUUUGAGUAUUAGGAUCACAUUCAACACUGUUAUAAUUCCCCUUUGAACCAUUGCACAGAAUAUGUGAAGGUCAGCAAAGAACCCAGUAUACAGGUGAUAUUUGGAUAGGACUUUAAACCCACACAGAUUCUUCCAAAUGCCUGAAGAGCACUUUUCUCCACUAGGCACCAGAGCCUAAUUUAGGAAGAGAUGUAGUAAUUGUAUCCACACCCCUCAUUUGUAUAAAGGAGAGUGACAGAACUCAUGCAUGCAAAAUCAUGGCUAGUAGAACAGGCUUCCAUUAGCUGUGUUUGGUUACUUUGGAGUGAGGAAAACAUUGCAUAUGCUCUGAGAUACGCCUUUCCCGCCUGCCCCCCGACUCAAGCUACAACAUAAAAAAUGAUUUUGGAAGCUACCUACACACUAGAGACCUUUGACUACUGUGUUGUAUGUGCUAACUUCAGACAAUUAUCAUGCUUGCUUCAGUGUUUUUCAUCCCAGAGAAGCAAUCUUUAUUUCCCCACAUCUUUGAUUUUAGCACAUGCACCUGGAAAAAAGAGACAAAAUUUUCAUUGAAUUCUGAAACCCUUUUAGGUUUCAUGCCUCAACGCUAAUGUCCCCCAUGAAUAAAUCAAAGCUUGUACCUGUACAAGUUGUCUUUUAAUGCAGAGCAAUGGCAUACUCUUAUACAUUGGGUUGCACAAAAAAGGCAUCUUCUGCCAGGUAAAAGACAAGUUACCACUACUGAUAACAAACUGAAAAGUGUAUCUUGAUGAAGGAGCUAUACUUAUCCUAAAUUCAGUUUCCUGUCUGAAAUACCUUGCAUAAGGAGGGAAAGUUCCUCCCUUUGUUUUAACAGCUAUUUUUAUGUUCCCCCAGUUUGCAAUAUAUUUUCUGAAAUGCCUGCACUGGAAGUAGUGUCUGUAGCAACUGUGGUGUAUCACUAAUUCAGUAGUGUCCCUAUAGAUUAACUAUAAACAUGUUAUUUCCUUUGCUUCUUUGCUUCAAAAGCAGUGAAGUCAACCUCUUUUCAGAUACAUGCAGUUGAUCAUCUGUCAGCAGUGGUAUCUGAAAAGCUGCUUCCUGGAUUUGAUGGCAAGCAACUGCAUAUUGUGCAACACACAGUGGGAAGUUCUAAAGAACAAAUUGGCAAAGUUCAUCCAACACAUCACUGCUAGUGUCAUCUAUCAAAGCAUUUGCUAUGGAUUUAGAUGCCAUUUUGCCAAGGAUUUUCUUCUGGGCCUGGAUGGCCAAACCUUUGGAAUUGAAGACAUCUGUUGCCACUGGAAGAAAAGGAGUAGAUGUUAGUACCUUCAGACCAUCUGAUGCAAUCCAUUGAACGUGAAAGCAUUUUAAAGCACUGUGUGAUGGGGAAAUAACUAAAGUUUCCCACUACAUAUACUUCCUGUAUUAAAAUGCUGAUUAAUUUCCUUGUGUAACAAUUAAAAGAACUAAAACCUUUA